rnacentral:rRNA from 1 species
AACGGCGAGUGAAGCGGCAACAGCUCAAAUUUGAAAUCUGGCCCCCUCCGCGGGGGUCCGAGUUGUAAUUUGCAGAGGAUGCUUCUGGCGCGGCGCCUUCCGAGUUCCCUGGAACGGGACGCCACAGAGGGUGAGAGCCCCGUCCGGUCGGACGCCCAGCCUAUGUGAAGCACCUUCGACGAGUCGGGUAGUUUGGGAAUGCUGCCCUAAAUGGGAGGUAUAUGUCUUCUAAAGCUAAAUACCGGCCAGAGACCGAUAGCGCACAAGUAGAGUGAUCGAAAGAUGAAAAGCACUUUGAAAAGAGGGUUAAACAGUACGUGAAAUUGUUGAAAGGGAAGCGCUCAUGACCAGACUUGGGCCCGGGGGAUCACCCGGCGUUCUUUCGCCGGGGCACUUCGCCGGCUGCCCAGGCCAGCAUCAGUUCGCGGCGGGGGACAAAGGCUUCGGGAACGUGGCUCCCUACGGGGAGUGUUAUAGCCCGCUGCGCAAUGCCCUGCCGCGGACUGAGGUUCGCGCUUCCGCAAGGAUGCUGGCGUAAUGGUCAUCAGCGACCCGUCUUGAAACACGGACCAAGGAGUCGUCUUCGUAUGCGAGUGUUCGGGUGUCAAACCCCUACGCGGAAUGAAAGUGAACGCAGGUGAGAGCUUCGGCGCAUCACCGACCGAUCCUGAUGUUCUCGGAUGGAUUUGAGUAAGAGCAUACGGGGCCGGACCCGAAAGAAGGUGAACUAUGCCUGUAUAGGGUGAAGCCAGAGGAAACUCUGGUGGAGGCUCGCAGCGGUUCUGACGUGCAAAUCGAUCGUCAAAUAUGGGCAUGGGGGCGAAAGACUAA